rfam:Streptomyces griseofuscus strain NG1-7 NG1-17_2_1, whole genome shotgun sequence.
CUUGACGGAUCCGAGCCACAGUGGCCGGUCCGCCGGGUGCUCCUGGCCGUAUGUGGCGAGCAGCGCCUCCGCCUC